rnacentral:rRNA from 1 species
ACGACUGCGGUCUUUGGGCCACCUCCCAUCCGUGUCUAUUGUACCCUGUUGCUUCGGCGGGCCCGCCGCUUGUCGGCCGCCGGGGGGGCGCCUCUGCCCCCCGGGCCCGUGCCCGCCGGAGACCCCAACACGAACACUGUCUGAAAGCGUGCAGUCUGAGUUGAUUGAAUGCAAUCAGUUAAAACUUUCAACAAUGGAUCUCUUGGUUCCGGCAUCGAUGAAGAACGCAGCGAAAUGCGAUAACUAAUGUGAAUUGCAGAAUUCAGUGAAUCAUCGAGUCUUUGAACGCACAUUGCGCCCCCUGGUAUUCCGGGGGGCAUGCCUGUCCGAGCGUCAUUGCUGCCCUCAAGCCCGGCUUGUGUGUGGGUCGCCGUCCCCCUCUCCGGGGGGACGGGCCCGAAAGGCAGCGGCGGCACCGCGUCCGAUCCUCGAGCGUAUGGGGCUUUGUCACAUGCUCUGUAGGAUUGGCCGGCGCCUGCCGACGUUUUCCAACCAUUCUUUCCAGGUUGACCUCGGAUCAGGUAGGGAUACCCGCUGAACUUAAGCAUAUC